rnacentral:rRNA from 1 species
GAACUUAAGCAUAUCAAUAAGCGGAGGAAAAGAAACCAACAGGGAUUACCUCAGUAACGGCGAGUGAAGCGGUAACAGCUCAAAUUUGAAAUCUGGCCUCACGGUCCGAGUUGUAAUUUGUAGAGGAUGUUUCGAACGUGGUCCGGUCUAAGUUCCUUGGAACAGGACGUCAUAGAGGGUGAGAAUCCCGUAUGCGACUGGGUGCCUAAGUUCAUGUGAAACUCCUUCGACGAGUCGAGUUGUUUGGGAAUGCAGCUCAAAAUGGGUGGUAAAUUUCAUCUAAAGCUAAAUAUUGGCCAGAGACCGAUAGCGCACAAGUAGAGUGAUCGAAAGAUGAAAAGCACUUUGGAAAGAGAGUUAAACAGUACGUGAAAUUGUUGAAAGGGAAGCGCUUGCAACCAGACUUGCACGCAGUUGAUCAUCCGGUAUUCUUACCGGUGCACUCGAUUGUGUUCAGGCCAGCAUCGGUUUUGGUGGUUGGAUAAAGGCCUUGGGAAUGUAGCUUCUUUCGGGAAGUGUUAUAGCCCUCGGUGCAAUGCAGCCUACCGGGACCGAGGACCGCGCUUCGGCUAGGAUGCUGGCGUAAUGGUUGUAAGCGACCCGUCUUGAAACACGGACCAAGGAGUCUAACAUCUAUGCGAGUGUUUGGGUGUCAAACCCAUACGCGUAAUGAAAGUGAACGGAGGUGAGAACCCUUAAGGGUGCAUCAUCGACCGAUCCUGAUGUCUUCGGAUGGAUUUGAGUAAGAGCAUAGCUGUUGGGACCCGAAA